AGUCAUAUGCUUGUCUCAAAGAUUAAGCCAUGCAUGUCUAAGUAUAAACAACUUUAUACUGUGAAACUGCGUACAGCUCAUUAUAUCAGUAAUUAUUUAUUUGAUGGUCACUUACUACAUGGAUAACCGUAGUAAUUCUAGAGCUAAUACAUGCGUAAAAUCCCGACUCUCGCGGGGAGGGAGGUAUUUAUUAGUUAAAAAGCCAAUGCCUGUUCUGCAGGGUUUUGUGGUGAAUCAUAGUAACUGUUCGAAUCGCAUGGCUUCACGCCGGCGAUAGUUCAUUCAAAUUUCUGCCCUAUCAGCUUUCGACGGUAGUGUAGUGGACUACCGUGGCGUUAACGGGUAACGGAGAAUUAGGGUUCGAUUCCGGAGAGGGAGCCUGAGAAACGGCUACCACAUCCAAGGAAGGCAGCAGGCGCGCAAAUUACCUAAUCCUGACACGGGGAGGUAGUGACAAAAAAUAACAAUGCUGGGCGUUUUAUACGUCUGGCAAUUGGAAUGAGAACAAUUUAAAUCCCUUAUCGAAUCCAUUGGAGGGCAAGUCUGGUGCCAGCAGCCGCGGUAAUUCCAGCUCCAAUAGCGUAUAUUAAAGUUGUUGCAGUUAAAAAGCUCGUAGUUGGAUUUCUGGUGUGAGGUGCUUGACCCGCCGCGGUUACGCGUGUGAGUGUCGGUGUGCCUCGGCCAUCCUUCUAGAAAUU
rnacentral:rRNA from 1 species